UACGGGGGGGAGCAAGCGUUGUUCGGAUUUACUGGGCGUAAAGGGCGCGUAGGCGGCGCAACAAGUCACUUGUGAAAUCUCCGGGCUUAACCCGGAGCGGUCAAGUGAUACUGUCGUGCUAGAGUGCGGAAGGGGCUACUGGAAUUCUUGGUGUAGCGGUGAAAUGCGUAGAUAUCAAGAGGAACACCUGCGGCGAAGGCGGGUUGCUGGGCCGACACUGACGGUGAGG
rnacentral:rRNA from 1 species